CACAGCUUGCCUAAGGAAUGCACAAAUUGUUUGCUGACAGCGACCAUCCUAAAGCCAGGCUGGAAGGAUGUGGACAGCAGUCAGUGUGCCAUGAGUCACAGCCAAGGAAAUGGCCAGCAGGGAGUCUGCAGGAUUACUGGCAGAAAGGCUGGGAGUGCAAGGAACAACAACACUACCAUUGUCUUUGGUUUGGAGACUGAGCUUUCCAGUCAUUACAUGUCUAUCCAAACAGUCCGAGUUUGAGAGAAACCUGCAUUUCCUUUCACACUCAUGUGCGAAGAGGACAGAAAUCCAGAAUGCCAUUACAAUUGUCUAGACACCAGAAACCCCAGAUUCGUACAACCACAUUUGACAAUCAAUGAAUGUGUUUGGGCAGGUGCUAAAAUUGACCCUGGCUUAAGCACACAGCAGAGCGUUGUCUCAGGAAUAUCUGUUUCAUCUGACUUGGAAAGAAAGAUGUUAAAACUCUUUCAGCAUUUUCAGAUGUCCGAAUCCUUCCCAUGUCAUGCAGUGGCUCCAGCUUUUUUUUGACUGAAUGACAACCACUUCCUCUCUGGAGCUAGACUUAUCUGAUCAAGUGGUGAAAAUACAAAAAUGAAGAAACCAUGCAUCUUAAACAUUAUUUUCACACUUGCCUUCCUCCUCUGAAGUGAGUUUUUCUUCAGUCAUCAAGCAUCAGCCAAAUGUUCAUUAGACAUGUAAACAACAUGGUUUGUGGGAGACAUCUCUUCAGUCUGUACCCAUUACUAGAGCAUCCAAACCUGACUCCAAAUAUUUUCCUGGCUGCACUUAUGCUGUUUUUUAAGUUUUGCAUUCAGAUAACUGGAUAUACAUCUAAUCUCAGGGGGAAAAAACUGUCUUUGCCUUUUAGUCCAGAUAUCAGUUUGCUUCUACUUGAUUUGUAGACUGGGCAGAGAUAGAUGGAGUAUGACACAUAGUUUGCCUUCUUUUGCCUAUCAUCUGCCAUUUCAGCCCUGCAGAGACUUCAUGGGUGGUAUAAGUUAGCUUUGAGUACCUUCCCAAACAUCCAGACGGAUCUUGGCCAGGGCAUCUGGAGAAUGGGAAGGCCACAUGCAGGAAUUUCAGUUUCAUUUACUGUUCAUUUACUGUUCAUUUACACAGUUCAUGGUCUUUUAUGCAGUCUAGACAACCACGUCUUUGAGUCUAGUCUAUGAGAGAAAAUGAUACUUCCUAGAAUUCAAGGAGUCUAAUAAAAUAUAUGAAUCAUAUCAAAAUCUGCUCUUUUCUGUAUACAUGUAGUUUAGUUGACAUGGUGGUGGGUGUUCAGUCAGAAGUCAGACUCAGUGAUCUUGGAGCAUUCCAUUCUAGUGCAGACAUGUGUUUUCCCUCUUGCAACACCAAAGGAUUUCACUGCAAACCUUAUUCACCAGUAUUCACUUCACGUUAUGGAAGCAGUCACUGUUUGUAUCGAGGAUCAGAGGAACCCAAAAAUUCUGACUUUAGGGUUCUGCAAACUUAUUUAAAGGCUCUCUGUCACAGAAAAGCAGUCUGGGAUCUCACAUUAUCAGGCUAACUAUUGACAGUCUAUUCUCAGUUGAAUUAUUGACUAUUGUAUAACAGGUUUUGCUCAAUAUUCAGAUUAUGAUGAUGUCAUUAAACUGUAAAUCCAUGUUCAUUGCUGCCUAGCUGUCUAAAACUUUAUUGUGAAAGCUCAAUGUAAACUUUGGAUUCAAAAUCUUUCAGUCAAGACUGUUGAUUUUAAAAUGGCAAACGAAGAUUUUUUCCUAAAUUGCUUGU